rnacentral:rRNA from 1 species
CUGCUAAAUCGAAAGAUGAAGUAUAGGAGCUGACGCCUGCCCAGUGCUGGAAGGUUAAGGGGAAAUGUUAGGAGCAAUCCGAAGCAUAGAACUGAAGCCCCAGUGAACGGCGGCCGUAACUAUAACGGUCCUAAGGUAGCGAAAUUCCUUGUCAGGUAAGUUCUGACCCGCACGAAAGGCGUAAUGAUUUGGGCACUGUCUCGACAAUGUACCCGGCGAAAUUGUAGUACUAGUGAAGAUGCUAGUUACCUGCGACAAGACAGAAAGACCCCAUGGAGCUUUACUGCAGUUUGAUACUGGGUUUUGAUAAACUAUGUACAGGAUAGGUGGGAGACUAAGAAAGCAAGGCGUCAGCUUUGCUGGAGUCACCGUUGGGAUACCACUCUUAGUUUGUUGAAAUUCUAACUAGUGGUCAUGACCUGGCCAGAGGACAAUGUCAGACGGGCAGUUUGACUGGGGCGGUCGCCUCCAAAAGAGUAACGGAGGCGCCCAAAGGUUCCCUCAGAAUGGUCGGAAAUCAUUCAGUGAGUGUAAAGGCAAAAGGGAGCUUGACUGCGAGACUGACAAGUCGAGCAGAUACGAAAGUAGGGCUUAGUGAUCCGGCGGUAGUGAGUGGAAAUGCCGUCGCUCAACGGACAAAAGUUACCCUGGGGAUAACAGGCUUAUCUCCCCCAAGAGUUCACAUCGACGGGGAGGUUUGGCACCUCGAUGUCGGCUCAUCGCAUCCUGGAGCGGAAGUACGUUCCAAGGGUUGGGCUGUUCGCCCAUUAAAGCGGUACGCGAGCUGGGUUCAGAACGUCGUGAGACAGUUCGGUCCUUAUCUGUCGCAGGCGUAGGAUAUUUGAAGGGAGCUGUCCUUAGUACGAGAGGACCAGGAUGGACAUACCGAUGGUGUAUCAGUUGUCACACCAGUGGCACGGCUGAGUAGCUAAGUAUGGAAGGGAUAAACGCUGAAAGCAUCUAAGUGUGAAGCCCACCCUAAGAUAAGAUAUCUCAUACCGUCAAGGUAGUAAGAUUCCAUGAAGACUACAUGGUAGAUAGGUUGGAGGUGUAAGUAUAGUAAUAUAUUGAGCUAACCAAUACUAAUAAAUCGAGGGCUUAACCAC